rfam:Schistosoma rodhaini strain Burundi genome assembly, scaffold: SROB_scaffold0004224
AUUCAUGUGACGAGUCCCAAAUAGGACGAAACAGGUGUCCUAGAU